rnacentral:rRNA from 1 species
AUUGAACGCUGGCGGCAGGCCUAAAACAUGCAAGUCGAGCGGAGCGGCGGACGGGUGAGUAAUGCCUAGGAAUCUGACUGGUAGAGGGGGAUAACGACCGGAAACGGGCACUAAUACCGCCUACUAUACGCUGAGACUAGGUCGGAUUUGCUAGUUGGUGGGGUAAAGGCCUACCAAGGCGACGAUCCGUAACUGGUCUGAGAGGAUGAUCAGUCACACUGGAACUGAUACACGGUCCAGACUCCUACGUGAGGCAGCAGUGGGGAAUAUUGGACAAUGGGCGAAAGCCUGAUCCAGCCAUGCCGCGUGUGUGAAGAAGGUCUUCGGAUUGUAAAGCACUUUAAGUUGGGAGGCGUUACCAACAGAAUAAGCACCGGCUAACUUCGUGCCAGCAGCCGCGGUAAUUC